GAAGUGGGACAUGAGAUGGAAGAAGAGCUGCAGGGGUCUUCGGCAGUGCUGGUGGUGACGGCCUGGUGGCAGUGCCUAAUUUCUUCUUCCUGAUACAUUGCAGUUCUAUUCUAGAUGUUUAUUUUCAUGUGUGAAUCUGUUAUAUCAAAUUUUUAAGAUGCAGCUUAUUUGCUCAGGGAUACAAAAUUGGUCUGUGGCAGAGCUGGCUGGAGCUUCAGUUCAGACUGUGAUUCUAAAUCCAGUGCCCUCCCACUGCUCAACACUGCCUUGCUGCAUAGCAAACGCCACCAGGAUUUCUGUCAUGGAGCAUCCACAGCAAGACCUUUAACUGACAGGGCUCCAGGCAGGAGGUGUGAGCACCUUCCCUGAUUCAUAACUCAAAGCUCAGUAAAAAUAUUGGUCUUGUUGUUAUUACUCUUACAAUAGCUUUUGCAACCCAUGGACCGCAUAUGUUGUGUUUGAUUUUAUAUGCAUGAAUAAUAUAUUAUUUUAUAUAUACAUAUAUAUUUUUUAUGUGUGUAAAUAAAGCCAUGGUGUGGGAAUUUGACGUGAAGGUUAAGACACCUCUCAGGAUACCCACAUCCCCUGUUGGAGCACCCGGGCCUCAGAGCCAUUCCCAAUCCCAGCUUCUUGGUCAUGUAUAUCCCAGGAUGCACUUGACGAUGGCUCAAGUACUUGGGUCUCUGUCAUCUAUGCAGGAGACCCAGAUGGAGUUCCCAGCUCCUAGCUUGGCCUGGCCUAGUACUGGCUGUUGCAAGCAUUCGGGGAGUGAACCAGCAGAUGUGAAAUCUCUCUCUCUCUCUCUCUCUCUCUGCACACACACACACACACACACACAUAGAUCUCAAGUAAAGUAAGUUAAGCAAUUUUUUUAGAUCACCCAAUUGUACCACAACUGCUGGGCAUGAGAAGUCCUAUUGUUCUUGUUACACAGAGAAGGAGAUUCAGAUCAAGUAACUCACACGCUAGGUGGGCCUGCACCCAUUCCUGCCUGGCUGCAGAACAUCAUGCAUCCACCGGUCUCUUCUAGUACGGUAGAGCCCCUCCCUCCACCUCUAAAUCGUGUCUCUUAGCAGUGGGGUGUGAGGCAGGCAAGACUGCUCCAGCCCUGACCCAGCAGCCAUCUCUCCGGCUCCCAUAGGAGAACAAUAGCAGGCCGGUUGUCAAGGCUGCGCUUCAUCUGGAGCCUCCCAUGAGCUGAUACAUCACAGUGGAGUGAUGUAUCACUCGCAGGGAAGCUGCGAGUGCGUGGCUCAGACACGAGGCCCCAGGAUCCCACCGCCUUCCGACUCUUGAUGAACGUGCUCAUGCAGGCAGAAUGAGGCUGGCCCCUGAACUUCUCUGGCUUCCUGUAUUGUCAAGUGGUCUCUUCUUUUGCACGCUCCCGCCAUGAUGCUGUUUGUAAUGUGAUAGGCACAGGGGUCCUCCCCAGAAACCAGACAGACCACCCAAUCUUGGACUUGGAGCUUCCAAAACUGACUGGACACGUGCCGCUGGGAGAAGGAACGUGCUUCUCCCAGAGCCAAACGGUGCUUUCUACCUUGCUUCCGACACCAGCCUCAGUGAGCACAGUCCCUGCAUGGCCUCCCUGUCUUCAGCAGUGCAUCCAGCCGACGUCUUCAGGCAACAGUUCUCAGGGAAUUCAGGCUGCAGCACCUGGGUCGCCUCCCACUCAUGCCUGUCAUGCAGGAGUACACAUCAAAAUGUGGCCUCUGGACCAGAUCGGAGCCAGCAAGCUUGUCCUGUAAGAAGUCACAGCAUAAACAUGUUAGGUUUGGAGUCACAUGGCCUCUGUCCACACCACCCAGCUCAACUCUUGCUGCAGGAAAGCCGCCAUGGACGAAAUGCACACGAGCGAGCCUGCACUGGGCCUGCAAGCCAUCGAUCGUCACCCACAGACCCAGGUAACAUAGAUCUAUCUCCAAGGUUCGCCGCUUUGAUGCCAAUGCCUGGGAAGCUGACUCCGACCCUGGAGCCAGAAGCCACAGAAGUCUGUUCCAUGGCCAUGUCUUCAGACAGGCAGAACAGAGAACAGAAGAGUAUCAAGUCUGACAACAUGAGGCUUCCUAGAUGCAGACAUCAAUGGCACAACCAGGAAGUCCCAAGCUCUGGAGCCUCACAGACCUGGGCCCCAAUUCCCGCCCUGGCCCUCUCUGCUUUGAUACCUUCCCGGAGUAACACCAAUGCUAGUAACUCCAUCCGGUGAAGGAACGUGCAACCCGUGCAAAUGCCCAGUUCCCGGCACACACUGGGACGCCCCGCCUCAUCUGCUUUGCAAACCAGUCUCAGAAAGAGGCAAGGGUGUCUCUCCUUGAGACGUUCUAAGCUCUUUUCUGUUUGCAUUGACAGAGAAAUAUUUAUCCAGGGUUGCAAAAAUCCUCCAGGAAGGCAUUACAUAAAGGGAAAUUUUAAAGAAGGAAAAAGAAAGAAAUUUCUUGCUGUAUUAGGGAAGCAGCGUUUCCCUUUUGACAUUUCAUAAGGCAUAAAUUUGAUAGCAACAGAAGCCCCAGAGACACUGUUAGCUAAACUGCAGGUGCAGGGUUAUUGCGAGAACAGGGAGUGCUAUGUCCUUGCCUGUUAGCCCCAGCAUGGGCUGGCUGUCCACAGUAUCCCUGGAACGCCUGUUCUCUCCCAGGGAUAGCUCACCGGGGAUGCCAGCUUCCAGUUCACCCUAUUAAAAAUGCAUGAUUUAAUCCAUGCCCCCCGGCUUCCUCCAAGAAUCCAUCCUGAUAGUCAACAAUGCCAGGGUCUGAA